rnacentral:tRNA from 1 species
CCUUCGAUAGCUCAGUUGGUAGAGCGGUGGACUGUAGAGGUUAUGUACACAAGAGAAAUCCAUAGGUCGCUGGUUCGAAUCCGGCUCGAAGGA